UCACCAAUUCUCUUCUUACGAAUAGAAAGAGCUCCUUGUUUUGACAUACAAGUGUGAGAGCUUCAGAUGCUAUAGCUAACACUUAUCUGAUGAAGCUUUACUACCGAAACAGCUCACUCCAUCUUCAGUUAAAGUUACAAAUUAGCUACGAGCAAAUUCACAUCCUUCCUGAUUUGAGAUAAAACACUAUUCCAUUAACUGACAUAAUGUCCUUUGUUAGAGAACAGUCUGAUACUAGGAAUUUGUGUGCUUUGACUCUUCCAAGAAAGAUAUGCUUCCAUGAUGACAUUCCAGGAAAACAGGC
rnacentral:lncRNA from 1 species